rnacentral:rRNA from 1 species
UACGGGGGGGAGCAAGCGUUGUUCGGAUUUACUGGGCGUAAAGAGCGCGCAGGCGGUCGUUCAAGUCGAAUGUGAAAGCCCCCCGGCUUAACUGGGGAGGGUCAUUCGAUACUGUUCGACUUGAAGGCAGGAGAGGGCAGCAGAAUUCCCGGUGUAGUGGUGAAAUGCGUAGAUAUCGGGAGGAAUACCAGUGGCGAAGGCGGGUCUCUGGGCCGAUACUGACGCUGAGGAGCGAAAGCGUGGGGAGCAAACAGG